rnacentral:lncRNA from 1 species
GCUGUUAAAGGUCUCCAGGAAUAUCUCUAUUUCAGUCUCAGAUGUGAUGAUAUCUAAGCACUGGCUGGGAACCACUGCUCUCAUCAGUACAUACCAUCAGACUUCUCAGGCAUUUGUCUUCACCUGCAGCUCCUCUCUCACCAGCUGACCCCUUGCUGUCCUCAUCUUGCACGGCAGCUCCAGGAAAACCUUCCCACAUGUGGCAGUGCUCACUGGCUCUCAGACAGGCUCUGACCUGUGAAUGUUGUGUGAGCCAUGACCUGUUCCUGGUUUGGCUCAGCACGGCUUGCCUGGACAGAUGGAAUUUCUGUGACAGUAACCCAUGAAAUUUCCUGGGUUUGUCUCCUUUGAAGUCUCCAAGAACUCUCUACCAUCACUAUGGAAGAUUGCAUUCCAAAUGUAAACAGAAGUGGCAAUUUUUGGUUUUCACUGCAGUGUGAACUGCUGCAGUUUCUUUGGUGAAUGACUGAGACAACAACAACAUAAUAUGUCAUGAUUCCUAUCUUCUUUGGGUUAUGGUAGACACCUAUUCAUCAAAAGGAAGCUGAGCCUGCAAGUGCCAAAAUCACCAGACCUUCAGUGAAGUCUUGAGUUGCUCACUAUUUGCAGAGGUAGAGAUCUGCCUCCCCAGAUUUUCUGUUCUCUAGAGAAGACAGAAUUUUUUAGGUGACAAUAACUAUAUGCUCAACAUACUGUUUAGAGGUACCUGUCAGCUGCAGACAGCCUAAUCCAGUGGAAUCAUACCCUGAAGAAUGAAGUAACACAAAUACCCUCCUGCCUUUCCCCUUCCUUUUGUGUGUCCCUGCACAGGUAAUCUCCUAAAUGGUCAUUAUUUCUCAUCUCCUGUUUGGCUCAUCACCUACCAUGCUUUCCCACCUCGCACUGAUUUAGAUGGAGAUGCAAAAAUUAAAUUACUGUUGCCUUUUUAUGAAAGAUCUUCACAACUUAAGUGCCUAAAACACCCUUAGAUAGUAGAUGAAUAAGAAACAAUUACAUUGUUUCAUUCAGAAACAUGCAGAACUAUUUUUAUCAAAUCCCAGGUGGUAGAGAGUACAGCAAAGUUCAUCUUCCCAUGUACUGAUCGAUACGUAGGAAUUUGUGCCGUGACUUUAUGAGCCUUGACUUUCAUCAUGUUGCUUAAUGCUGAUGUGAGAAUCAAUAUACCAGAAAAAAAGGUUCUUAAUUUGACUUUCUUGUGUCAGCUUCAGAGCAGAAAGUGGCGGAUGCCUUGGGCAGGUAUGAUCCGUUUUAUGUGAGACUGGAAAGAACCUAAAAUGCGUCCAGCCAAAAAAAAAAUAAAUGCUACUGCUUUUAAUCUAAACA